rnacentral:rRNA from 1 species
GUGGGGAAUAUUGGACAAUGGGCGAAAGCCUGAUCCAGCCAUGCCGCGUGUGUGAAGAAGGUCUUCGGAUUGUAAAGCACUUUAAGUUGGGAGGAAGGGCAGUAAGUUAAUACCUUGCUGUUUUGACGUUACCGACAGAAUAAGCACCGGCUAACUUCGUGCCAGCAGCCGCGGUAAUACGCAGGGUGCAAGCGUUAAUCGGAAUUACUGGGCGUAAAGCGCGCGUAGGUGGUUUUGUAAGUUGGAGGUGAAAUCCCCUGGCUCAACCUGGGAACUGCCUCCAAAACUGCAUGACUAGAGUACGGUAGAGGGUAGUGGAAUUUCCUGUGUAGCGGUGAAAUGCGUAGAUAUAGGAAGGAACACCAGUGGCGAAGGCGACUACCUGGACUGAUACUGACACUGAGGUGCGAAAGCGUGGGGAGCAAACAGGAUUAGAUACCCUAGUAGUCC